UCACAACUCACAGAUAUGAAUGAACAAGAGGAAGUAUUACUAGAACAGUUUCUCAGUUUACCUCAACUAAAACAAAUUAUUAAUGACAAGGAUGACUUAGUAAAAAGUAUUGAGGAAUUAGCAAGAAAAAAUCUCCUCUUGGAGCCCAGUUUGGAAGCCAAAAGGCAAACUGUUUUAGAUAAGUAUUAGUUACUUACACAAAUGAAAUCUACGUUUGAAAAGAAGAUGCAGAGACAACAUGAACUGAGUGAGAGUUGUAGUGCAAGUGCCCUACAGGCAAGAUUGAAAGUCGCUGCACAUGAAGCUGAGGAAGAAUCUGAUAAUAUUGCUGAAGAUUUCUCGGAGGGAAAAACUGAAAUAGAUGAUUUUCUCAGUAGCUUCAUGGAAAAAAGAACAAUUUGCCACUGUAGAAGAGCCAAGGAAGAGAAACUUCAACAAGUGAUAGCAAUGCACAGCCAAUUUCAUGCUCCAUUAUAGAUUUUCCUGAAAACAUGGACUGCCAAGAGAGAAAUGGGACAUAAAACUUAG